rnacentral:lncRNA from 1 species
UCUAUGUGGAGAUGGUUGUUUGAAGACCAAUGAGGUGAAGGCGUGGGUAUAGUGAUCAGAUGAUGGAACUAGUGUGUUGGAGCAGAUCUCCAAUGGAGGUGGUGCGUUCUCUUUUCAGAGAUGGAAGUGAUGCUGCCGGUGGAUACUGUGUUGGGCUGCAAGCAUCAGAGAUCACUCGUGACCUCUGUUUCAUCGCCCAAGACUCCGUUGAGACACUCCAGCAUCGAUUUUCAUGAGGACUUUGGUAGUCCUCCACAACGGUUUUCGAAUCAAGUUACACGAUGCAGCUUUGGGAAAGGUACGAAACCAUCUGCAUUGAGAGGAGAUGAAGAUGGAGUUUCAGCCUGUUAUCCGUUGACUGAUCUAAGUGACAAGCUUUUGCUUGGCGAAGCUUCAAUGGUACGGCUGAGUUGGAACCUCCUCUACCCAAAUGGUGCGGCUGUACCUCUCUUUUCCUUCUCAGUGGUGUGGCUGCACCUUUAUCUAAUCUCUCAAUGGUGUGGUUGCACCUCUCUUUUCCUUUUCAAUGGUGCGAUUGCACCUUUCUCUACCCUCUCAAUGGUGCGGCUGGAAAUCCUACACCCAUCUGGAUAUCAUCUCCUCCCUUCGAGACCUUGUGCGGCCUUAAAAAAAAAUCAAAGCGACCAGCCAUCCGAUGAUAAAAAAAAAAAUGCUCCUUUCCUCAAUCCGGUGAUGAGAAAAAAAUCUCUCUCAAUCCGGUCAUCCCCAAAAAAAAUCCCCCCCAUCUCGCAGCAGCCCGCUCCUCCUUUUUCUUUCUUCUUUCCUUUUUCUGAAAAUUUCCUUUCCCUAAAAAAAAAACUCUUCUCUUCCUCUGUAUCUUUCCCACAUAACUGUCCUCAUUCAUUCCCAUGAGCAUCCUCUUUUGAGCCGCUGAAUAUGCUCUCUUUGCAUGUCGGGAAUCACCUUCUCAAGCCAUCUUGAUCCCUUCCCAUAAGCAUCCCUCUUUGACCAACCGAAUAUGCCUUUUCUAUGCGGCUCAGAAUUUCACUCCAUUCUGAACACAACUCACCUUUCCGUCCAUGUACACACUUCAUCUUCUUAUUUUCAUUUACCAAAACCAGCUUUGGUAAUUUUCCUUCUUUCAAAGAUGUGGGUAUUCUCUCGAAAGUCAAUAGCAGCCCGUUUCCUCAUGCAAAAUAAAAAAUAAAAAAUGAAAAGAAAUAAAAUUAGGAGAUUGAAGAUAAAAAUAAAAUAAAAGAGGAUAAAAUAAAAAGAUUAUUCAAUUAAAAUUAGUUAAGCAAUCUCGAGCAUAUCUAAAGUCGAAAUAAUUCAAGUGGUUAAAAGUCGAAUUGGUUUCACUAAAGUUUGAAGAAGUAAUUAAAUAAGUAAAUAAGAAAAUAUGGAUAAAUAGAUGAAAAGUAUAAUAUGUAAAUAAAUAAAUAAAUAUUAGACAUAUUCAAUAAAAAGAAAAUAAACUAAUGCAACAUAUAAUAAUAAUCAAAGUGUCAAACUCGAACCACCAAAAAAUUAAAAAAAAUUCCUUCCAUGCAAUUCUAAAAUAGAAUAAAUAAUAAAAAAAACAAAUAAUAAUAAUAAUAAUGAAAUAAUAUAAAUAAAUCAAAACUCACUUAAUCUUAAAAGCAAUCAAUAAAAUAAAUGAAGAAAGAAAAACAAGAAUACAAAUCUAAGUGAAACUAAACCUUGAAAAGUGCCUAAGUGGGCCUAAGGUGAUGCCUAAUGGACCGAAGUCUAAAUGGGCCUAAAGUGAUGCCUAAUGGGCCAAGUGUACCUAAAUGAGCCUAAAGUGUCUAAAUGGGCCUAGGAUGGUGCCUAAUGGGCUUAAAGGGCCUAAGUGGGCCUAGGGUGGUGCUUAAGUGUAUCUAAGUCUAAAUGGGCUACCAGGAGUUGCAAUAGAGUUCGAUAAAUCCCUCAACCAUAGUCCCUAAGGUGGCUUAGAGUAGAUAGGCUACACGAGUAUUAAUGGGCCACCAGGGAAUUGCUGUAAAUGACAUGUGCGAGGAAGACAAAAUAGAGGGUCUACACUUAGUGUCACAAUUUUUUUGCAAGUCAUUCUCUCUUUUCAAUUUCAUUUGAUCUUCAUACACUUGACGUGGAGUCAACGGUACAAGAGUAAUGGUUUUAUUGUCUUUUACAAAAGAAUACCUAUUCUUGAACCCGUCAUGAUUGACCUUUCUAUCAAACUACCAAGGUCUACCCAAUAAAAUGUGACCCGCAUGCAUUGGAAUAAUAUCACAAAGUACUUCAUCCUUGUACCUCCCAAUUGAAAAAGAAACCAACACUUGCUUAUUUACCUUAACCUCUCCACAAUCAUUCAACCACUGUAACUUAUAUGGUCUAGGGUGUUUCAAGAUAGGUAAAUUCAAUUUUUCAACUAAAGUAGUGCUAGCCACAUUAGUACAACUCCCCCCCAUCAAUGAUCAAACUACAUACCUUAUUGUUGAUGUGGCAUCUAGUAUGAAAAAUAUUCUCCCUUUGUUGUUCCAUGUCAUCCUCUUUAACUUGGGCACUUAAAGCACGCCUAGCCACAAGUGACUCACCCUCCACUGGAUACUCCACAUUAUCGUCACAAGCAUCCUCCAGUGAUGGCAUCUAGUCAUCAUCUUCCUCACUUUCAGUUUCCACCUCUCCAUCAACACAUGUGAUCAUGGUCCUCUUAUUUGGGCAUUGUGAAGCUAUAUGACCUACUCCCAAACAACGAAAACAUUUAAUAUCACGAUUACGAGUUUGGAAUUCAUUUUUACCUUUGUUGACAUUGGGAGCUUCAUCUCUCCUUUUUGGUGGUUCGGUUUUGGACUUGAAAACAACCCCUUCAUCUUUCCUCCUAUUUGGCCUCCAUGAAGCAGAGGAGCCGAGAUUUUGAAAUGACCGAGUUCCUUUCCUUUUAAGCUAUCGUUCCACCUUUAUUGCCGUGUGCACCAUGUCCUCCAACUCCACAUAGUGGGUUAACUCCACCACGUUGGCAAUGUCUCGAUUCAGUCCAUUCAGAAACCUUGCCAUAGUAGCUUCUCUAUCCUUCUCUACAUUAGCAUGAAUCAUGGCAAUCUCAUCUCCUUGUGAUAGUCAUCCACGCUCCUAUAGCCUUGAGUAAGACUCUAUAAUUUCUGAUACAAGUCCCUAUAGUAGUGACUGGGGACAAACUGCCUCCUCAUGGUGGCUUUCAUUUCCUCCCAUGUCUCAAUAGGCCUCUCAUAGUUUCUUCUUCUAUUCAUCACAAGUUGAUCCCACCAUAUAAUAGCAUAGUCAGUAAACUCAUCACAGCUAGUUUUACCUUUUUCUCCUCGGAAUAGUUAUGACACUCAAAGAUGAACUCCACAUUCUUUUCCCACUCCAAGUACACUUCUGGAUCAUUUUUCCCUUGGAACGAUGGUAUCUUCAUUUUGAUGUUUCCUAGGCUUCUAUCAGUCUCAUCUUGCCAUCUUGGAGCUCUUCGGAAACCUCUACCAUGCCUUUCGUUCCUUAGCGCAAACCUGCCCUCAUGGUUCAAUGAAGCUUGAUCCUCUUCAUCUUCAAACUCAUCCUCAUGGUAGUCAUCAAAACCAUCAACACGCGCACGCCUUCCUUGCCUUCUAGCAUUAGGGGCUCUUUGGGUACGCUCCUCUUGCAAAGAAGCGAUAACAAUGUCUUGCCUAUCCAUCUGAUCCCGAAUAUCAUUAAACACCAUGUUCAUGCGUUCAAACUAUUGUUGUAUAGCCUGCAACAUGAGGGAUGACUCAUCCCCUCCUUCCUUAUUUGAUGUUUCACCCCUGGAAGACAUAUUUUGAAACUACAAAAAAAAUGUUAGAAAUAAUUCCUCACAACACUCCCUUACAUGUUUGCACUCACACUCAUGUUUCAUUAUUAAAUUGGUUUUUUCCCGAUAUUAGUCUCACACUCUCUUGCCUUUUUCUACUCGUAGCUUUCCCUUUUUAGUUCUGCUUAAACUAAUAAGCUUAAUCAAGAAAUUCAACUUGUAGUAUCUAAACUAAUACCAAUGGUAAGAAAAUAUGACAAAAACACUAAAUCAAAGGAAGAGGACAAAAGAAAAUAAUAUUUUGAUUUGAGAGAAUUGAAACUACACUCAAUAAUUUUAUUUUUUUUUGCUGUUUUCUAAAGUUUUUUUUUUCUCGUUUUUUUUUUUUUUUUUUUUUUUUUUUUGGAGCUUGGUGCACGAUUUUAACCUAGUGCACGUCAAAAAAUAAGAAUGAGGAAUAAAGAACACAAAAUGAACAAGAUAGGUUGAUAUCAGGAAACAAAAGAUAAAGGGAUAGAAAACUGAUUUUAGAACCUGUGCUCUGAUACCAAAUGAUGCGAACCUCAAUCGACACGAUUUGAGACCCAACAAAUAGUAUUGGAAUAAUCGCCCAAGAAAGCUAAAAUACAGAUUUUUGAUAUAACCCUGACCCAACGUUUAUAACUGAAAGGUGAACCAAAAGUAUAAGUAACAGACCUUGACCCAAUGAUUACAAUGGAAUCACGAACCGAAAGUAUAAGGUUUGAACGCCACAAGGAAGAAUCCCUGAUAAGUUCACAAUUUUUUAAGAACCAAAAUAAGAGCAAAGCCUCACCUUUUCUGAUUUUUUUUAUUCAAUAAAAAUUAUCCUCUAUUACAAUGAGUGCGUGCUAUUUAUAUGUCAUGAAAAAAACUUACUAAAUAUUAAAACCCUAAACUAAAAAAGGUACUAAAUAUUAAAACCCUAAAUAAAGGUUGAUUUGGUCUAAAAUUAGCAGAUCCAAAAUAGGAAAAUAGCUAAAAAACGUUCUAAAUAAAAAAAGCCUAAAAUUAAGGUAGAUUUGGCCUGAAUUUAGAAGCUCUAGAAUAGGAAAUAAUUGAUAUGAAGCUGGAAAGUCAAUCAGUCAUUAAUCCAUGCCAUAAAUCACGCCCAAUCAAGCCAGAUUAGCCCUUAAUAGUUUGGAUUAAAUUUGUUACACCUUCAUCAUCCUUUGGGCCAAACUUGGAAUGUCCUGCGUUAGAAUCAACCCAAAUCUCUUGAAUUAACCCAUUAAGUGCUUCUUUGAUCUUCUUAGAUCUUGCUUUAGUAAUAGGCCCAACUGGAAUAUGCAAUGGAUCCUUGAAUGCUUGUUAAUUCUCAUCAAUGUACCAUCAUUAGUGAGUGAAAAUGAUCCCAUACAAAUGAACAUGAAUGUUUGGAGAUUUGGGGAGUUAAAUGGGUGUUUUGAUUUUUUUAGGUUUAGGCUGAAAUACUUUGAUAAUUUUCUAGCUUUGGAUGAAUUCCUAGGUGGGUUGCUCUGUUUUCCCCUAUUUCUGAAUGAUAUGCAGUGGCUUGUGCUUGCUUUUGUUUAUUUUUUUAUUUUUUUAUUACUGAGAGUUUUGGUUUCUUGGACUCUUGCAGUUUCUGGAGAUUGAAUCGGUGAUUUGUGUUUGGCAUGACGAUUGAAGUCAAGUUGGUUGUGUAGUCUUAAUGAUGAACUUGUGAUUUUGGAAUUGUUUGACAUUGAAUGGUUGAAAUUCUGGUAAUGUAGUGCAUUUCAGAGAGACUGUUUAGUGAAUUUGGCAAUACUCAUUUAACAAUAUUUUUAUGUGUUGUGAUUUUGCUUACUAAGGUAACUUGAUAUACUUUGGUACUUUUCCUCUAUUUAAUGUGUUGUUAGAGCAAACAUGUUAGGAUUUAUGUUUGGGUAUGUGUGACGCUUAAAAACAAUAGCAGAAAACAUUUUAAAGAAUGCAAUAAUGGGUAUAGCAGAUCUCAUUGAUAGCAUGACAUGUACUGGGUUCAUAAACAUAUAAAUUUUUAAAUGUAUUUAGCCACCAUAUAAAUUUAUUCAGCACACCAUCUUAUAGCAGAUUUCACUGAUAGCAGAAAACAUAUAAAUUUGUUUGGCCACCAUUUUAUAUAAUAACAGGUAAUCCCAGAUUUUUAAAUUUCCUGUCAAACCACACUUGUUCUCUAUAUCAUAGGCUGAAAUUUAAAUGAGUAAAAUAAAUAAAAUUUCACCAUCAUUAAGCUGAAACCAAGACCUAUAGUAAGACCUAUAGUAGCGGCAAAGAAAAGGCCCCAUCCAUAGCAAGACAGAAAAGGCCUCAUCCAUAGCAAGACCUAUAGUAGCAACCAAAUCAUUCCCUUCUCCAUACCAGAAUUAUAGUUGCAAUCAACACUAAUUAACAUGUACCUAUAAGCAUUAACCUAAAUUUUUUUUUAUACAUUUUCCCACCUUAUAGCUGCAACCAUAUUUAGCCCUAACUAUACACUACCUUUGGUUGCGGCCAGAAUGAAACUACAACCAUAAUAUUUAGUCAUACUCUUGUAUAUGACCGCAUCCAUAGCAUUUCUCUACACCCCCUGUGGCCAUGCCUUGUUGUGGCUCAUUUUGUUUACACCUAUAUAGUUGCACUAAAUCUUCCUUUUAGUUGAGGCCAAUGGCCGCAACCAAAACUGACUUUCUUGUAGUGUUAUUUUAAAUAAUAUUUACUACUAGCACAUUCAUGUAUUACAAUAAUGUCAUAAUUAAAUGAAAGAAAAUGCUUGCCACUCCAUUGUAAUGUUAGUAUUGGAAAUGUAGACUGGAUCCAUAGCAUCCUACGUAUAGGACAUAAAUUGUUAUGUUAAGAGUUAUAAAUAUGAUAUUCAUUUAUGUGGUACAUUGAUUUUAUAAUAAUCCAAGCGAAUAUUUGUAACUUAAUUUAUCUAUACUAUCUAACAAAGCAUGUAAGUUAAUUCAUGGUUGAUGCUGGUUAGACUCUCUAAGUCAUACCAUGUUUUGGGAUGUAAGAAUAAUUCCCUUUAUCUGGUGUGUCAACUUCUAUAUAUAUAUAUACACACACAUUUUAGGGACUCAUCCAUAAUAUAACAUUGCUCUUCAAUUUUUGUAUUUGAUAACAUAUUUGGACAUUUUCAAAUUGUGCAACCUUUACUCUUAGGCUUACCUCAUCUUCUUGGUUUAUGGAGUUUGGUAUUUAAGUCAUAUGGUUACUCUUAAUCCCCAAUAUUUGGAUCCCAAACAAAGUAAUAUAAUCUUAUUUUAAUUAAUUAGAAGUCCACAAAGCCAUUUUGUUCUUGGACAACUUGAACAUGACCAAGUAAUGGAAUGGAAUGGGCUCCACAAUUGAAGAACAAUACCAUUGAUAACUUAGAUAAAAAUAUGCAUUUAUUGUAUGAUACUCAUUUUCUAAAUUUUUUAAUAUGUAGUUUAGUUUCUAUUAAAAUUAAUUAAAAUAAAAAGUAUAUCCAUAAAAAAAAUUUUAUGUAAGGUAAAGGUUUGAUCAAAAUUACUAAAAAUAAGAAGAGUUGAGAAAGAAACAAAGAAGUUAGAAAAACAAGAAAGAUUAUGAAUUUAAAAAAAGAAAAAUAAUAUUUGAUAACUUAUGAGAUUCUUUGCAUUUAGGUGUUACGUAUAUUUUACCUUUACGAAUCUAACUAUAAAACAUCUUUUUCUUGAUAUGGACACAUAAUUAAACUAUAUAUUUAAAAUUAUUGGGUUUGACUCGAGCAUCAUUUCCGUAGCUAUCAAAAGGUACCAUGAAUCAAAUAUUAUCACAUGUGCAAUUUCAUUGCUUUGUACUUAACUCUUAUGAAUUUGUACCUUUUAUGUGGUCUCAUUACAUUGGUUUGUGAUCUUAUUUGUUUAUACACAUGUUUAUAACCUCGUCCUAAAUGUUUGUACUUUCAUUUAAUAACCCAAACUUGAUCUUUGGUAGAUAUCAAUUUCGUAUUUAGAUUUUUCCAAAAUUCUUACUAUUUACUUAUAUAAAUUAUCUUUUUAUAUUUAUUUUUAUAUGGUAUUAACUCUGUAUUAUAAUAGGUUGAGAAUUUUUCUCCAAAAAUUAAUAAUUCAAGAUUACUUCACUACCAUGAGUUUAUAUGGAUAUGUUUGAGCUAAAGACGGAAAAUUUGAAGUUUAGUUAAGUACAUUUCGAGUUCAGUAAUAGAACAGUAUAAUAGUGUUAUAAAUUUAUAAUUUAGUUAUAACUUAAAACACCAUUGGUAUUUUUGUCCAUAAAAUUUCUUUAAAUUAUUUAAAAUUUCUAUUUAUCUAAUUUAAUUUUUUCUUAAUUUCAUACAUUUGAAAUACCUAAGACUUAGAUAUGAAAAAUUCAUGUUAGAAUUGCAAAUAAAAAACCUUAAGAAAAUCUACAAGAUCCAUUUGUUUUAUCCUAGGUCUAAAACUCAAGAAAAUCAUGACUAAGUUCGAAGAAUCUUGAAAGUCCUUUCAAGAAAGACUAACAAAGGUCAAGAAUUCGAGUUGUACUUUGAGUUAAUCCACGUAAUAAGGAAUAUGAUGAAAUAUUACAUUAUGGAUAUGAAGAAACAUAUAGAUGUUGAUUAGUAUAAAACUUUUCCAAAGAAGCAUAUGAUCAGCAAAGUAAAAUCAUGUACAAUUUUUUAAUAUUUAGUGGAUUUUUAUUAUAAGUGAUAGAUUUAUAAUUAUUGCAUCUAUAAAGAUUAAGAUAAUCUCCGUAAGUAAUUUUUCAAAUAUAAGUGGUAUCUUUGGGUGAUUAAAUAUAUUUUAAAUUAUCAUGGCUCAUAUAAUUCCUCGGGGGAAUAUCUAAAUCAAUAAUUAAAUUUCAAUAAUCAACCAAGUUAAUAAUUGCAUCAACUUGAAUAGAUAGUUAUUAUUGUUGGUUCAACAAACUCCUCCCACACACCCGACACACCUCGAGGUAAUUUUUGGAUGAAAAGUUAUAAACUGGACAUAUGUAUAUAUAUAGUCCAUUUACAACUUAGGAUACUUUUAUUCAUUUAAAAUUUUAUUUACUACUUUAAACAAAUAGAGAUUAACUUUACAAAUUUUGACCCAAACAUGCUAAAGGUGUAACUUAUUCUAUCUCUUAAUUUCUAAGGGUGAAUUAAUACAAAUAAUAUUUGUAUUGUUUGUUUCAUGUUAAAAUUAACAAAAUGUCAACCACCCACUUUUACAUCAAUCUUUAACCUAAAUCUUAAUCUCAUUACUUUGUAUCUCUUAUGUGAUCUGUUACAUUACACUUUAAUUUUAUUCUUUUAUACUUUGAUUCCAUUAUUUAAUACCUUAGAUUGAGUUGUUUGUAAUUUGGUUUCCCAUAUGUCUACUUUUAUCCAAUGAUGUAAGUUUUAUUAAACACUUUAAAUGAUCUAGAUUUGAGUUUUACAAGGUAUUGAUAUGAUGUUAUUGACUUUUCAAAAAAAAAUUUCGAUUUUCUUACAUAAAUUAUCUUUUUAUAUUUAUUUUUAUAUGGCAUAAACUUUUUUAGUGUACUACAAUGGCUUGGCAAAUUUGCUCCUAAGUUUAAUAGUUUGAGAUUACUUCACUAUAAUGAUCCUUAUACGAGUUCAAGACACAAAAUUUCAAACUUAGGUAUACUUGUGUUUUGAUUUUGAAAUUAAAACGGGUACAAUUAUGUUAUGAAAAAUUAAUUUAGUUGUAACUUAAAUGCCCUAGGUACUUUUGUCCAAUUUUUUUUUUUUCAAAAAUUAAUGAUUUUAAUUUCUUAUUUUUCUAAAUUAGGUUUUCAAAUUUGGUACAAGUAAAAUGCUUAAGGUUUGGGUAUGGAAAGAUUUGAAAUUUUCAUUUUAGGGUGUGAAAUAAAAUAAUCUACUAGAUAAUUAUUGUUUUUCCUAAUUCCAAUAUUCUAGAAAAUCAAGUUUUAAAAAUCUUAAAAACCCUUUUAAAGAUGAAAGGCAAAUGUUGAAAAUUCAAGCUCCCAAACCUCAAUAUGGUUUUCAGGUGAUCCAAAGAGCAUGAGAAGCUAUUGCAUUGUAAACAUGAAAGAUACAUGUGUUGAUCAAUAGAAGACUCGAUGAAAGAAGUAUCUGUGUGAAAUAAACUAUGCAUGAUUCUUUUAUAUUUAAUGAAUUUUUGUUGCAAUCGAUAGACUUGUUUUUACAUCUAUAAAUGUUGAGAUAAUCUCUGCAAGUCCUUUUUUCCGUAUAUCUUGUAUUCUUAUAUGAUGAAUAUAUCUUGGAUCAUUAUGACUAGUAUAAAUUCUCUCAAUACUAAUAUAAAUCAAUAAUUAAAUCUUAAUGAUUAACCAAUAUAAUAAUUGAAUCAAUUUGAGUAGAUCUCAAAGUCAUUGCUUUAAUAUAUUUUAUUUAUGUAUAUAAAAAAAAUUGUGAGAAAUGCCCUCGAAUGUGCGUUUGUCAUCAACAUAACACUUUUUGUUUUGUUUUAUAAUUGAAAAACCAUACCAAAAACAAAAGAAUUGGAGAGAUUUGAUUAAAAUAAUCUCCAAUUUGAAGAAUGCUUUUCCUUUUUAAAAAAAAAAAUAUAUGAAAAUACCAGCCUCUUUGAAUAAAAAUAUCAUUCAUCAAACUUUUUUUCAUCCAUUUAUGUUAAAAGCAUUUUUUUAAAAAUAAAUAAAUAAAAUAAAAGAUAUUUUUAUUCAUUUAACAUAUCUAUUUACGACUUUGAACCUAUAAAGGUCACCUUCACAAAUUUUGGCCUCUCUCAAAGGAAUUUAUGUGAAAAGUAGCGUAGCAUAUUUGGACCCUUCCUUGAGGGAAUAUGAAUCAUAAUUUUAUUGUUUCUUUUCUAUUAAAACGACAGGAAUCUACAACCACCCACUGUUACAAACAGCAAAUCGUGCAAAAACGACAACUAAAAGAAAAUAGAUUGAGCCAGCAAAGCCAUGACAUCGGUUUCUCGCCCUCCAAGACUAUUGAGGCGUUAUGAAGAGCCAUUUAUAACCCCUUCAGCCACAAGUAUAAGUGUCACUCCACCACAAAGCCCUCAAAACAUCCAAUAUUUUUCUCUCUUUGCAGUGACUGCUAGCUAGUGAUGAAGCAAACUGAGCUUAUCUUCAUCCCGUUUCCUAUCAUGGGCCACCUUGGGCCUACUGUGGAGAUUGCAAAGCUGCUUGCUCAGCGAGCCCGCCGAUUCUCAAUCACAAUCUUCAUCAUGAACAUUCCGUUUGAGUUCCUUGAUAGUAUGACCAAGGACUCUGAUUCUUAUUCCAUACGUUUCGUCGCACUUCCUCCUGUAGAGGUCAGCUCCGAAGCGAUGAGUGAUCCCUUCCUCUCUGAAUUCGUCAAAGCUAGCAUACCACUUGUCAGAGACGCUGUCCACGAGCUCACUCGCUCCAACUCGGUUCGGCUUGCUGGGUUCGUUAUUGAUAUGUGCUGCACCCACAUGAUUGAUUUGGCCGAUGAGUUUGGGGUGCCCUCCUAUCUCUUCUUCCCUUCCAGCGCUGCUUUUCUUGGCUUCCUGUUGCAUCUUCAGUUCCUCCAUGAUUACGAGGGCUUGAAUCUCGAUGAGUUCAAGGACUCGAAUGCUGAGUUGGAGGUUCCGAGUUAUGCUAACUCUGUUCCAGGCAAGGUCUUUCCUUCUGUGAUGUUUGACAAGGAAGUCAAUGGGGCAGAGUUGCCUCUGUAUCACAUGCGGAGAUUCAGACAAGUCAAGGGUAUUAUGGCAAAUACAUUUAUUGAGCUUGAAUCACAUGCUAUUCAAUCAUUUUCUGGCAGUACAGUACCGCCAGUGUAUCCCGUUGGACCCAUUCUCAACACUAGAAUGGGAUUUGGUGAGGAUCAACAAAAUGCUAGUGCCAUCAUGAGCUGGCUUGAUGAUCAGCCUCCAUCGUCUGUGGUUUUCCUAUGCUUCGGGAGCAUGGGAAGCUUUGGUGCUGAUCAGAUCAAGGAGAUAGCACAUGGGUUGGACCACAGUGGGCAUCGCUUCUUGUGGUCCCUUCGCCAACCUCCCCUAAAGGGUAAAAUGGAACUUCCAAGCGACUACGAAAAUAUUGAGGAAGUUCUACCAGAAGGAUUUUUACAUCGGACGGCUAGAAUUGGAAAGGUGAUUGGCUGGGCUCCACAAGUAGCAGUUUUAGCCCACUCAGCUGUUGGAGGAUUUGUAUCUCAUUGUGGAUGGAACUCCCUAAUAGAAAGCAUAUGGUACGGUGUUCCAGUAGCAACAUGGCCAAUGUAUGGAGAACAACAAAUCCAUGCUUUUCAAAUGAUAAAAGAUUUAGGAUUAGCAGAAGAAAUUAAAAUAGAUUACAAUAUGAAUAGUGGUUAUAUUGUAAGUGCAUGUGAGGUUGAAAAUGGAUUAAGAAACCUAAUGAAUAUUAACAGUGAAGUGAGGAAAAAGAAGAAAGAAAUGCAAAAAAUAAGUAGAAAAGUCGUGAUAGAUGGUGGAUCUUCACACUUUUCUUUAGGCCAUUUUAUUGAAGACAUGAUGGCCAACAUUCCAUGCGAGCAAUAAAGUGAUACGUAAUGUAUCGGAUUGUUAGUUUAUCAUGUGAUGUAUUUCAAUGCCCAAGUAAUUUCAUUGAUGAAACAUGAAAAAUUUGACCAUUUCUUCAAGUUUACAAGAAGAAAUGAAGGAACCUUUUGGUAUUGAAAAGGAAAAAUACGUAGAUGCUAAUAUGUAUUAAUACAUUCCCUAGCUCUUGUUGCAAGGAUUCUCAUUCAUAUAUAUAUAUAUAUUCAAAUAUUAUUGAACUUUGAAUAAUUACUUUUGUUACAUACAUAAUUGAUUAAUAAUUAAUAGGAGAUAAUUUUCAGCCUUAAAAUUACUCUUUCAAGACCUAUAUAUCAAAUUAAAAUAAAAAUAAAAAUUGCUAAAACCGUAAGGCUAUGUUUGAUUGCCAGAAAUUUGAGGGAAAAUGUAAGAGAAAGAAAAUAAAGAUGAAAAGUAUAAGGAAAGAAAAUAAAGAGGAAAAAAUAGAAGGAAAUAAAUGAAAAAAAAUAGAUUUAAAUUCAAUAUUUACUAGUUCUGAUUAUAUUUGGUUUUCUUUGAUAUUUUUUAUAGAACAACCAAAGAUAAGAAAAUUUAUAAAUCUUUGCAACAGACAUAUCUUCAUGAGCAACUUGAAGUUUAUCCCAUGCUUCCUUUGCACGUUUGCAAUUUUCAAUCCUGCGAAAUUCAUCUAGACAAACUCCGUUAAAAAUACUAAAUAAAGCCCUAGCAUUGGCUUCACUACCUUCAUUGUUGACUUUGUCCCAUUCGUGUUUAGGGUUAAGUUCACAUGUUGAUCUUCCUUGAGCAUCAAGUAUUAAUGGUGAUCUUCAACCAUAUUCAACCGAGUCUCAUACCCUUUGAGUCAACAACCUUUCUUUGGCUUCAAUUCGAGAUUGGUGUCUCUAAUGGGAGCACCAUCUUGCGGGGGCAUAAUAGUGCAGAAUCCCAUCCCUGUAAUCUUGUAGAUUCACAUCCCGAUAUUCAUGCCUCACCAACUCAAUCAAGAUCUCCAAAUGGAUGAAAUUAUACAAUAAUCAAUGACCAAUUACACAAGUAAACUAUAAAUCAUUUAGCCAUAAGUUAUGACAUCAUUUUUGUAGCUUUUUGUACAUAAUAUUCAUGCUCUAUAUUUAUAUAGUGUAUUGAUUAUAAAUGAAUACAAGCUUUCACAUCAGUAUUAUUAUUAUUUUAGUUUACUCCAAAUGUAUAAUUUUAUUGUAAAGAAAUAAUAUUCAUACUCUGUAUUUAUAUAGUGUAUUGAUUGUAAAUGAACUCAAGCUUUCUUAUCAAUAAUAUUCUUUUCUAUUAGCCCCAAAUGUAUAAUUUUGUUGUUUGUUUUAUAUGAAAAUGGUAGAAAUCUAGAACCACUCACUCUUGCCUCAAUCCUCAACAAAGGCCAACCACAAAUCAUACAAAAGCGACGAGUACCAGCUAUAAUAACAUUUAUAAUAAUAUAAAAAAACUUUUAUUAAAAAAAAUGAGGACCUCACGUGAUUUCAAAAGCUAAAAUUCCAUGUAAUGAAAAGAUAAAUUUUUCUUAUUUAUAUAAGAAUUUUUAGUAAUUUUUUAGUUUAAUUUUGUGGAACAUGAACCUUGAACAAACUCUUCAAGUCACAUUAUUCUAUUAUUUUUCCUUUUUAUGUUUUUUUUAAAUAUUAAUUGACAUAAAUACCCUCCUCUACAUUAUGAAGUCAUCAAACUAAUGAAUUUUCAUUUGUAGCAUCAAAUUCUCCACUAGGAUUCAAACAUCACUGAAAUACUUAAGGUCAUCACAUGUUUUUCAACACCUACAUCAUACACUAUGACACCCCGAAUUAAUUUUCAAGCUUAGAAAUGCAAAUUAGAAAUAUAAAAAAAUAUAAAAAAUAAUUUUAAUAAGAAUAGAAAGUUCUUUUUGUAUUUAAAAACCCUAUAAAUUAUAUUUUUCUUGUCAUCUCUUUACAUAAACCUUUUGUGCAUAGAGAUAAGAGGAAUUAGGAAACGCAUGUGUAGACCCCCCUUAGAUGGGGAGAUUUUAUUUUAUUUUUUAUGAUUUUUCUGGCUACCCUGAGAAUGAGUCGUUUCUCGGGCAGCCAAAGAGGACAAAAGUGAAAGGAAGACAACUGAUGGGUGAGCUGCUCUUGGGCGGCUAGAGAGGAUGGGAAGCAGAAAAGAAAAAAGGGGCAAGCUAUUUGGGACAGAGGGCACAAUUGAGAAAAGAAGGAAAACAAUUGUUUGAAAAGGAGGAGACAACUAAGUAAAAAGGGGGCAGUUACAGAGAGCCUUGGUAGUCUUCUUGGGGAGCUUAGACAAAAGAAGGGGGGAAGGGUAUCUUUUGUUGGUUACAAGGAGGGUGAGGCAGUUAGAGUUGGGGAUUACUGAGAGGGAGAACGAGAGAAGAAAGAAAAGGAAAAAGAAAACCAGAGAAAAGAGGGGAAGAUUUUUCUGAGGAAGAAAAAUUUUGGAGGUUGUUAGCGAGAGUGGGAGGUUGUGGUUGAUUCAUGCCCAAUUGGUGUCUCAGCUAAUUCGUGUGCAGCUGGUACUCCUUGAUUGAGGGAGUAAUCAACAAAAUUUAUAACCUAUUACACCAUAUACUAGGGUAGCAAAGACAAAGCUACUAUAGCAUAGUGGCUCUAGGAUCGUUCACUGGGAAGGAUUAACAAGCUAUCAAUGAUACCAAUUCAAAGUGAAUUGGUCUUGUUUCAUUUCAAGGUUAGCUUAAGAAAUAAAACACAAACUUUGAUUGGUAAAGAUUUAGACUUAAACUAACUAACACAACAAGUAAUGGGAAUAACUUAGGAAGAAAAACAUUCAUUGGAGGGUCAGGUUCACUGGGGUGGUUCCUCAUGCAAAAGACAUAGCUCCGGUCAGAUGGUUCAUUUCCUCACGUUAGAGAUUCAACAUAUAGUCAAUUCUCUAACCGGUUUUGUACAGAUACAUCCUUUAAUUAGAUUUCAACUUUAAUUCUCUCACUGAUGCAACUUGCAAUGGUUCAAGCCUCUCACUAAGCCUUAACCAUUCAAGGUGAUCUUUAACCUUGGACUUCCCUUNNNNNNNNNNNNNNNNNNNNNNNNNNNNNNNNNNNNNNNNNNNNNNNNNNNNNNNNNNNNNNNNNNNNNNNNNNNNNNNNNNNNNNNNNNNNNNNNNNNNNNNNNNNNNNNNNNNNNNNNNNNNNNNNNNNNNNNNNNNNNNNNNNNNNNNNNNNNNNNNNNNNNNNNNNNNNNNNNNNNNNNNNNNNNNNNNNNNNNNNNNNNNNNNNNNNNNNNNNNNNNNNNNNNNNNNNNNNNNNNNNNNNNNNNNNNNNNNNNNNNNNNNNNNNNNNNNNNNNNNNNNNNNNNNNNNNNNNNNNNNNNNNNNNNNNNNNNNNNNNNNNNNNNNNNNNNNNNNNNNNNNNNNNNNNNNNNNNNNNNNNNNNNNNNNNNNNNNNNNNNNNNNNNNNNNNNNNNNNNNNNNNNNNNNNNNNNNNNNNNNNNNNNNNNNNNNNNNNNNNNNNNNNNNNNNNNNNNNNNNNNNNNNNNNNNNNNNNNNNNNNNNNNNNNNNNNNNNNNNNNNNNNNNNNNNNNNNNNNNNNNNNNNNNNNNNNNNNNNNNNNNNNNNNNNNNNNNNNNNNNNNNNNNNNNNNNNNNNNNNNNNNNNNNNNNNNNNNNNNNNNNNNNNNNNNNNNNNNNNNNNNNNNNNNNNNNNNNNNNNNNNNNNNNNNNNNNNNNNNNNNNNNNNNNNNNNNNNNNNNNNNNNNNNNNNNNNNNNNNNNNNNNNNNNNNNNNNNNNNNNNNNNNNNNNNNNNNNNNNNNNNNNNNNNNNNNNNNNNNNNNNNNNNNNNNNNNNNNNNNNNNNNNNNNNNNNNNNNNNNNNNNNNNNNNNNNNNNNNNNNNNNNNNNNNNNNNNNNNNNNNNNNNNNNNNNNNNNNNNNNNNNNNNNNNNNNNNNNNNNNNNNNNNNNNNNNNNNNNNNNNNNNNNNNNNNNNNNNNNNNNNNNNNNNNNNNNNNNNNNNNNNNNNNNNNNNNNNNNNNNNNNNNNNNNNNNNNNNNNNNNNNNNNNNNNNNNNNNNNNNNGAUGAGGGAGUAAUCAACAAAUUUAUAACUAUACACCAUAUACUAGGGUAGCAAAGACAAAGCUACUAUAGCAUAGUGGCUCUAGGAUCGUUCACUGGGAUGGGUUUUCACUUCACAAAUGAUAUCAAUUCAAAGCUGAAUUGGUGCCUUUUCAUUUCAAGGUUAGCUUUAAAAGAAAACAUAAAGAUGUUUGAAUGAAAAAGGUUAGUUUUAAGCUAACCAAAAAUAGUAACUGAUUUUAACUACAAAGAAAAGUGUUUCUUGGAGUUUCAGAUCACUAGGCUCAGAUUCCUCAUACAAAAAGGGAGUUCCGGUCAUUUGUUUCUUUUCCUCGCAUUAGAGAAUUAACAUAUAGUUCCUUCUCCAACCGGUGUUGUACAGAUGCUUCCCAUUAAUGGGUUCAAACACUAAAUCCCUCUCACUGAUGCAUCUUGCAAUGACUCAUACCUCUCACCUAGCACUUGCCAUUCAAGGUGAUCUUUAACCUUGGAUUAUCCGUCAAAAGCUCGCAAGAGAUAACUAAUGGAUGUCUCAUUGGAGUCCAAAAGCUUACCAAGUGUUGGCUAUUCUAGAAAAUCCUACCUUCAAGUCACCUCCCAAAGGCUCGCAAGGGGUAAACUAGUGCAUCUCCAUGGACGGAGAUCACUUGCCUUACCAAGUGUUGGCCCAGGUGAUUUAAAGGCGUUUUAAGUUAACUAAAAAGAUAAAAACCAUUAACGGGUUACACUUUCUCUUCAUUAAAAACUAAAACAACAAAACUUCCAAAUUAUACAUGUGGAAACUUACCCGGCUUUCCUUACUCCAAGAGACAAAAAGCUUAGCCUCUCAUCCUCUUAGGAAAAAUCCUCAGAGUUUGGUUGGCUAGAAAGAAAACUAACGAGAAAACAAGAAUAUAUAUGAAAAACAGAGCAAGUGCUCUGUUCAUUGAUUCUAUAUAUGAUAUAUCUAUAUAUUGAUCAAUUUUACAUAAUUCUCUUAUAGUGGAUGCAAGGGAAUAUAUAUAGAGACGUUUUUCCAACCUUCAUAACUAAGAAAUCUUAUGGUUGGUGGAUUACAAGGAGAAGAAUGGAAAUUCAUACAAAAAUAUCUGAAGAAAAAUAUCCCAAAGUGUCAGUCACAAAUAUCGGGAAGCUCCAGGAACCAUUUCGCAAGUGAAAACGAGGUCUGCGAGAUUUCACAGACAUCCAAAAAGGGCUGCGAAAUCACUUCGCAGCAAAAGGCUGGUUCCGUACCGCUGUGAAGUUGGCUUUCAUCUUGUGGUGUUUAGCUUCCAUCGCGGCGUGAAACUUCAAGGGAAAUCCAAAGCACUGUGCAAAAAUGCUGCGAAAUCAUUCCGCAACAAAAGGGUGAUUUCGCAACACUUUGCUGAAUCCUUCCUUCAGCUUGGAGCAAUCAUCUUCCAAAGGCUGUAACUUCCUCAUUUCAGCUCCAAAUCGUACACGGUUUAAAGCGUUGGAUUCUUGACUUCCUGAGCUUUGAAAUGGUAUAUAGCAUGUAGGAAAAUGGACUUCGAUAGUGCUCCAAAAGUGCAAAAGAAGAUUGCAGUUGCUGUCCUCUAUUUUCUUCACUCUGUUUUUCCUCUCUCCGUGCUUCUCUCCUUGCAUACUUUGAACGACUUUGGCAAAGGGCUAUGGAGCUCCAAAGCUUGGUUCUUCAUGAAUUUGAGCUUUUCAUUGCUUUGCCAUGGAUUCCAAAUAACUCUCCUCAAUCUUGGAUUGUUUUGGUGAUCAAAUUACUAACAAAAACACCAAAACUUACACAAUUUGAUUAGAAAUGAUUGCAAGGGUCCUUAACAUGUUAAUUGGGUUAAAAGGCAAUAACUACUACUCAAAAGUGUUUAAAAGAGUUAAUUACAAGCUAUCAAAUAGCACUUUUUGAGUAGUAAUCACCUUUCCCGGCAACCUUAGCUCCAAGGAACUAGAUGUUUAGUUACUCAUUCUCUGGGGAAAACUCCUCAGAGAGUUCAUAACUUAGUAAGAAAAUAAAAAUACAAAGUGAGAAGGUAAGGCAAUACAAAGAACUGAACUUUACUUGCUUACCCAAAACUUUUACAAAAAAGAUCUCCUCCCUGAGAACAGGCUCCCGAGAGGUAUAUAUAUGAACAUAAUAUAAAACUAAUUAUUACAUAGAUAUUUUCUCUUUUUUACUAACUUAAAAGCUAAGGAAUCUUGUAAUUGGUGGCUUACAAGGAGUGUUUUGGGAUUUAGACAACAAAAAUCUGAUGUAAAAUAUCUCCCAAUGUCGGUAGCAAAUAUCGGGAUGCUCCAGGAACCAUUUCGCAAGAGAAAAUGGUGUCUGCGAGAUUUUGCAGACACUCAAGAAGGGCUGCGAAAUCAUUUCGCAACAACAUGCUAUUCUCGCAGGGCUGCGAAGUUGGCUUCCACCUUGAGGUUCUCAUCUCCCAGCUUGCGGCAUAUAUCGGGCAACUUCAGAAGGAAAUACACCCUACUGUACAAAAAGGCUGCGAAAUCACUUCGCAACAAAAGGGUGAUUUCGCAGCACUUUGCAAAAUGCUUCCUUCAGCUUGGAGUGAUUGGCUUCCACUAGCUGCAACUUCUUCGUUUCAACUCCGAAUUGCGCACCGUUUGAAGCAUUGGAUUGUUGACUUCUUGAGCUUUGAAAUGGUAUAUAGCAUGCAUCAAUUGGACUCCAGAAAGUACUCCAAAAGUGGCUGCUACCACUGUCAUCAAGAAUAUGCUUCAUGGCAUAUUCUCUUUACUUUUUCUCCUUGCAUUCCGGAUUUACUCUUGGCAAAUGACUUCCAAGCUUUUCCCAAGAUUCCUCAAAAUUCUCCUCAAACUUGAAUUGCUUUGGUGAUCAAACUACUAACAAAAACACCAAAACUUACACAAAGUGAUUAAAAUUGCUUUCAAGGGUCCUUAACAUGUCAAUUGAGUUAAAAGGCCAAAACUACUACUCAAAAGUGUUUAAAAGGAUUAAUUAUAGGCUAUCAAAUAGCACUUUUUGAAUAGUAAUCAGUGGUGUUAUGGCUUUGUUUUUAUAUGUGUUUAUGCACGAACUUUGACCUUUAGAGGUGUUGCGCGAGCCAUAACCAUAGAAGGGUCAAUGAUUGUGUUGAAUUGUGUUGUUGCUUUGCAUUGAAAUCGAGGUACAAUCUUUGAACCUUGAAGCUUUGGUCUCUGUUUCCAGCAUUUGUUUAUUCUGCAAUUUCUAGGUCUUGGGUAUUCUUUUUAUAUCUAUAUUGGGAUCCCAAUUGGAGCUUUAGGAUAUGCCAAGAACUCUAGUCAUUGCUAUUGUCAUGAGAUUAUUGGUUCUUCAUGGUUAGUUCUUCGUUCCCACCCCUACAUUUGAAAACCCAUUUCUUAUUCUAUAUUUAGUUUAAUUGUUUGCUGUGGGUGGCGUAUUGUUUUUUUGGCUUAUUUAAUGAGUGAAACUUGAUCCGUGAAUUGAUGGGAAUGUAUGGGAAGAUUGGGAGAAUGGACGAUGCACGCAAGGUGUUUGAUGAAAUGCGUGAAAGGAAUGUGGUUUCUCGGUCGGCUAUGAUUUUCUUGGGUAUACCAGCAACCCACUAAAAAAAAAUGGAGUUGAGGAACUUCAAUUAUUCAGCCAAGACCUUCCAACCUGUAAGAGUUAUGGGACAACGGGCCAUGAAAACACAUUAAGUUUAAUAACCUCCACCCAUUCCACCACCAACCCCAUUCUUUAUUCAUUUAUUUACUUUUUCCUUUCUCUUACUAUUUCUCCCACUUAAAUUUCUCGCAACCCUUUUUCUACAGUGAAGUCAAUGUGCUACAAUGGCUGGAAAAAGGCCCUUCCUUUGCUGUUGAAGGAAUUCGAACCCCAAACCAAAAGGUUUGAGGUUCAACCCACUUAUCGUCUGGGCAAACUUGCCUUUAUUAUAUAGUACGCACUAAACAUAUAUAUAGUUAAACUCAUUAUAUAAAAAAAAAUAUUAAAGAAUAUUUUAAAGAGCAAAUUAAUUAUAAUUAUUUUUUUAAUUAAAUGCAAAAUUUUCUUUUAAUUGAUUGCCAAAAAUAUAAAAAUUAUAUCAUUUUUUUCAUAGUGUUUUUGAUAUCAUUAAUAAUUAAUUAAAUAUUAAAAAAUUGUACAUAUAUCAUAAUUUAUUUUAUAUUGUUUAAUACAAUUGAAUUAAAUGGAUCAUAAUUUUAAUAUUAAUAUGUAUUUUAAAAUUAGACAUAUUAUAAUCAAAUAUCAUAAUAUUAGAUGUAAUUUAAUAAUAAAUGUACACUUAUAAAAUUCAUAUUUUUAUCGAUGCAUACGAUAUUAUUAUCAAAUAUGAUAAAUCAUAUUAUAGAUAUAUCAAAUUAUUUAAUAAAAUAACUUUAAAAUAUCAUUAUACUUCUAAUUGUAUUUUUAUGAAGUUUUUUUUUAUAAAUUUUUUUAUAUUUUGAUCAAUUUUAAGUUUAUUGAUAUUUUUUUCCAAAAUAUCCGCUAAUAUAUCUCCGAUAUAUCCGUAAAAUCGAAAUACCGAUAUAUUCGUGAUUACCGAUAUUUUCAUUCUUGCAUGUAGCUCUCAUUCCCAUUUUAAUUCUUCAUUUUUUUUAUUAUAUAUAUAUAUAUAUAUAUAUAUAUCAAAGUUUAAUUUUCCAAAAUUUCAAUCUCCAAAUUUAAUUUUAAAAACUCCAAGCUUCAACUUCUAAAUAUAAGUUCAAAAUCCUAGUUUCCAAAACUCCAAUUCUUAAAUUUAAUUUUCAAAACUCCGAUUCUUAAAUAAUUUUCAAAUUCCAAUUUUUUUUCAAAUUUAACUUCCAAAAUUCCAAUUUCUUUCAAAUUUAAUUUCCGAGCUCCAAUUCUCAAUUAAUUUCCAAAGUUCCAAUUUCUUUCAAAUUUAACUUUCAAAACUCUAAUUCUUAAAUUAAAUUUUUAAAGUUCCAAACUCUCAAAUAAUUUUCAAAUUUCCAAUUUUUUUUCAAAUUUAAUUUUCCAUAACUCCAUUUUUCAUAUUUAUUUAUUUAAUCAUUAUUAUUUUCGUUAUUUUUAUUAUUAUUUAUUUAUUCAUUCAUUUAUUUUUAAAUUUUCAUCUUUAAAUAAUUCUUCAAAAUUCCGAUUUCCAAAUUUAAUUUCCAAUUUUUAAAAUUCCAUUUUUCACAUUUAUUUAUCUUAUCAUCAUUAUUUUCGUCAUUAUUGUUUACUUAUUUAUUUUUAAAAUCCCAUCUUUAAAUAAUUCUUCAAAAUUCCUAUUUCCAAAUUUAAUUUCCAAUUUCCAAAAUUUCAUUUUUCACAUUUAUUUAUCUAAUCAUUAUUAUUUUGGUUAUUAUUGUUUAGUUAUUUUGUGGACCCCGCAUUUCGAUCGCUCGAAUGCGUUUCCCACUCGAUGGUGAAACUCGAUUUUGAUUUCGAAAAAUUGAUUUUUAUUGAUUAUUUGAAAAUGACUUGGAGUCGCCACUUAUUUUUGUUUUAUUUUUAAAGGGUAAACAAAAUAAGAAAGAAAAACCCUAAGCGUGACUCCUUAUUUUGGAAAAGGCGGUCUGUGAAAAACCGGAUCGGGUUCGGGGGUCAGGUUACUUAUUGGGAAGGUACGGUAAAUACCGUAGCACCCCUCUAAGUCCCUAAAGGUCGGGUCUCUACUAAUGAGAUGAAGCUGACAUGGCAAUCAAUGAGAAAAUCAAUGAAUACUCGAAUCAAUCAUGCACAUAUGAGAGUCAGAAAAUGCAUAUAAACUAACCAGAGUGGGAAUGAGUCUGUACCUGAGCAGUGAGCCACUAUGCGCUAUCAAGAGAGAGGGUUAGUGCAAAAUAAAGAGCAUAAACAUAGCUCACAUGUCACUAAAUCGAGUACAAAAUCAUCAAAGGCACGCAUGGCACUUCACUCAAAAUUCAUUUUUAUUUUAAAGAAAAUUUAUUUGAUGUUGGGCCCCCACCAAAGCCCGUUUAUUUUUGUAUGAAUUAAUUUCGUGAAUUCUAUCACCAAGAAUUACGAAAAAUAAAUUCACACUUAUUUUAAAACAUUUUGAAAAACAAAGAAAAUUUGAAAGUGGCCCGCCAAAAAGAAAAUGGCGACCAAAUUUUAUUAAAAAUGAGAUGUUGGUAUCUGAAAACCCUAAGGAUGGAAAAUUUGAUGACUUGAAAACAUUUAAAAACCAAAAAUUGGAAAAUCAUUUCAAGCCGAGGUUGGAAAUUAUUAUUUUGAAAUCAAAAGGAAAAAGUUUGAGGGGGUGGUACAUGCAUAGGCCACGUAACAUUAGGUGAGAGGACAAAGUAAUGGAUGAGAGAAUGAGUCAUGGGAUUAGAAUAGUGAGGGGAACGUGGAGAUUUAGAGAAAGAGAAGCAAUGAUGGGCAUGGGAAUAGUGAUAGAAACAAGAGAGAGAGGAAAAGUGGCAUGUAGAAUAUUCCUAUAGAGAAUCUGCCACAUUCGGGUGAGUGCAGAUAUUUGACUGGAGGUGGGUACUGAUGACUGCCAUUACGCACCUUUUCUCAUUGAUUCCAUGCAUUGAACUUCCUCCAGAAAUUCUUUUCAGUCAGCUCAGACGCUGCAUAUUGUGGCUGGAAUCCAUAGUUUUCAAUCAAUCAAUUCUCCAUUCCGCGAAUUGCUUCUGCACCAUCAAACUGAGUUGUAUUCUCUCCAACGAGAUUGACAAGGACUCAGCAAACCAUCCUUAUUCUUCCUUGCUUAGCUCAUCUCCUUACUCUGCUUGUAACAACUUCAACCAGAGAGAACUCCCCUUAACAAUAAACCCACUGCCAUUUGAACUAUAUCACCAUCUCCGGUUCCAAUGGCUGUGAGGAAUUCAGCCCCGUGCACAAGUGAAAUGCCUUCACCAUGGCUCUCAUUCAUUUUCUGCUCAUUGCUAUCAAAACUGGAAAGUGGCAUGAAUGACUUGCAAACAGAGGAGCAAGAAGGAUGAUAUUGACGCAACCAAAAAGAGCAGCACAGGAUGAUUCAGCAUAAGACCUGAGCAGAUCAGACCUCAUCCAAGCAAUGUCUCCUUCAUUGUCACCCACAUUGUCAGCAAUAACAACUAGGUUUCACGGAUUUUCUUCAGGGAUAUUUCGUUCGACUUUCCCAGCAAGAUCGACAUCAACAUCGUCCACUUUUGUUUCAGAAAUUCAGCAGCAAUUGGAACUGUUGAAUUGACUGGGCUGCUGAUGACGUGCAUGAAGGCAUCAGGACGGGUUGUAAAGGAAAUGAGCCCAGGGAGGGUAACCACGCAUGGCAUGUAAGAGUGGGGCCCAAGGUGGAAUUUGGGAUUGCUCUAAUGUAGUUAUUUGAUGAUGACAUGGCUCUCGAUUCCAGAGCACCAAGGAACCCAGCCCCGCCUUGGUUAAUCCAUGUUAUUGGUACUCCAAUCGAGAUUAAAAUUACAAUCUCCAGUAAUAGCCACCAUACUGACCAUCCAAUGCGCUUCUGGUUCCAUCUUUCUUAGCAUUCAUCUAAGGACACAAGCUUCAGUUGUUUCCAAGCAAUAGCACUUGGACUAGACGCAUAUGAUAUCUGACCUGUAACAGUAGGAACAUGCACUUUUGGCAAGCAAGGAGCUAGACUACCUUAGAUGGUUCCAAUCCGUGAUGCUGAAUCCGCACUCGAUGAAUAUGAGACGUGUAUUUUACCAUUCCUCUUUUGUUUCUCUAUGAAGCACAAGGACAAUGUAUUCCAGCUGCUCGUCAAGCAUCCAAUGACCUCAUCACUGGAAGUUCUUUUUAUCUUCCUCAUGAGCAUGAUGACAAUGUAGAACACACGCGCUUUCAGCCUUCAACUUCCGUCACUCUUCAACUAGCGUAUCUGUCAAAUUCCAUAGCUCCAGCCUGGAAGAUGUAAGAUCCUGGAGCCUCUGCAUUAUCUGGAUUUUAACUCCUCAUAGAAUCUGCUUUGCAGCUGCCAUCUUCCAUUUGAACUAUUCCCUGCAUUGAUAACACAUUCUUUGACCAAACGCCCAAACUCAUUGAUUUUCAGUGGAGGCAUUUCCUUCUGAGACUUCCCACUCUCAGGAACAAUGUCAACACCACCGCUAGCACUUUUUUUUCAUGGCCAUCCCCGUCAAAAGCACCAUGGGAAAUAGGUGCCUCGUUCUCAUAGAUCAAAACAUCUUCAUCAAUGGUUCUGGUAGCAAUAUAUGUUUUAGCUUCUUUUACAUCCACUGGUGAUUCAGGUUCAGAGGAUGGCUCAAGACUCCUCUCAGUCCUGCAAGUGCGCUCAGAUCCUAGACCAGAGUCCAGAUUGUAUUUAAUAUCUCUAUGCAAACCAGUAACAGCUGUGACUGAUGGUGACACAGUUACAGGGAUAACAUCUUCGGCACAUGGUCUUCAUCUGCUUAUGACAUUCCUAUCUUCACGGCCUCUUUGAAAGAGGGAGCUCCAAUGGGAAGAAUCAUAAACUCCUGCAUUGCGAGUUUAUUUCCUUCAUGUGAACCACCGUUGAUGACAUUGAAUGCAGGAACUGGCAACAUCGAGUGCUUGUUAUCAUGCAAGGUUUGCAAUAUGCUUGUAAAGGGGAAUAUUCUUAACAAUGGCCCCAGCUUUGCAAACUACAAGGGACACUGCCAGAGAGAAAAGCUAAGACGAGCAUGGGCGGAGCGAUCCUGCCGGAGAUGGCCUUCUUGAGGAACUCCCACGUGACCAGCACGUUGCUGACCCAGCAGAUAUGAGACACCAGGAGGUGCGCGAGCUCCGGCGACGGCAGCGAAGUCCCAGUGGAGUUAAGAAUCAACGAGAGCUGAACCGCCUAUAGGAGGGGAUCACUGUUCCGGUGAUGGCGAAGGCGUUUCGCCGCCGGCGGCGUUCGAGGACAGAACUAUCUCUCAGCCAGUAACAAAAAGCACCCUGCUCCCCCCUCUCUAGCUUGCUCCUUUCUCUCUCUAAAGCUCUCCCUCUCUGUCACUAGCCUGGAGACCCUGCUGCAAAUGUGGUACCAGACUUCUUCUCGUGUUUGGUUCAGCUUUUACAAUAGCAGUCGGGACAGCUCCAACAACAAUAUGAACAAGAAUAGUCCCAGCCAAACUUCUUCGUCCUGUUGCGCCUCAAGGUAGUGGUAAGGCACAAUCAUCACCAACAAUGUCAAACUCAACUUUGUAUCCCUCAGAUCUUUCUUUCUCAGCAGCCAAACCAAAACUUAACCGAUCGCCAGUAUAAUUCUUGACAAUUGGAAAAGCACCCAUGGGACCAGUAAUAGCUUGAAUAUUGGCUAGAAUAGAAUCCAAUGAUGGGGAGGUAAGAACAUCACCUCAUAUAGUUGUUGCCAGCAUCCUUUCCCCCACAAAACCAGCAUGGUCAGGUUUAUGACCACUUCCACCUCCUGGGGAUGCUCUCUUUGUCCCCUGCUCCUUCACUCCGGUAAAAUCAGAGGAAUAAACACUAAGGCAUGAGCUAGAGUGAAAACUAAGGGUAGAGCAAAUGAGCGAGCACGUGGCACAAUGAAUGUAUAGGAUCUCCUAUCAGGUGAUGAUCAUAGACUCAAAACAGGUGGGAUGAGAGAGAACCUUGGGUCAGGUUUACACAGUGUAUGAGAAACAGAGUUCCACUAGCUCUAAACCAAACCACAAAAACGACAGUAAAAUCGACAGCAGCAGAGUAUAAAAAUGAUUCAGAAAUCAACAAGAUUCAGCACGUAAUCUAUAGUGUUCAACCCCAAAUUGAUGAGCAAUGAAGAGCAAACCAACAUGGGAAAGAGAUGAGAAAAUAUUUAAAAGUAAACGAGAAGCUCACCUCCUUACUCACCUACAGAUGCCCUUUCCUUUGUUAUCUCCCUUGCUCCAACUCCUUCAGCACCUCUGUAAGCGCCCCCCUCCUCUGUUCUGCUCCUCUCAGCCAAACUCCGGGAAGGAAACCACUCUCCUCACAGCAGAAAAAUGGUUAUCACCCUCACUCUCAGUAAGAAAACUCUCCCCAGAAAAAGCUCUCUCAUACGCCUCUCCUCUUUCUCACAGUUUGCUGCUCUUAGCUCCACGAAUCCUCUCCCUCUACUCUCGAAAAAUCUCUCUCUCUCCCAGCUCCCUUUUGAAAAGCACCUUCCUCCUCUCGAAAAUCGCAACCCCCUCUCCUGAAAAAUCUCUACAGCCCAGCACCGAAAAACUCUCCCCUCUCCUGCAGCUGGCCUCCUCUACUAUAACAGAAACGCUCCCCCCUUAACCGUCUGCAGCUUUUUUUCAAAUCCCCUUUACAGGUGUCAACCAUUCAAUGGCUCCUUCAACUCCACUACUUGAUUCACUGAAGGCCAAUUACGGGGUGACACGUGGUUCCUUGAGAUUGUGACACCUGUCUAAAAUUAGCUGCAGAAAGUGAGCCCCAAAUGGGGGUCUACAUAUUUAUUUAUUUAUUUUUAAAAUUUCAUCUUUAAAUAAUUCUUCAAAAUCCCGAUUUCCAAAUUUAAUCUCCAAUUUCCGAAAUUCCAAUUUUCCAAUUUCCGAAUUUAACUUCCAAUCUCCAAAAUUUCAACUUUCACAUUUAUUUAUUUAAUCAUUAUUAUUUUCAUUAUUAUUAUUUUUUAUUAUUUAUUUUUAAAAUUCCAUCUUUAAAUAAUUCUUCAAAAUUCCAAUUUCCAAAUUUAAUUCCUAAUUUUUGAAUUUAAUUUUCAAUUGCCAAAAUUCCAAUUUUCACAUUCAUUUAUUUAAUCGUUAUUAUUAUGAUUUUAUUUAUUUUUUUAUUUUUUAUUUUUAAUUUCAUCUUUAAAUAAUUCUUCAAAAUUCUGAUUUCCAAAUUUAACUCUCAAUUUCCGAAAUUCCAAUUUUUCAAUCUACGAAUUUGAUUUCCAAUUUCCAAAAUUCCAAUUUUCACAUUCAUUUAUUAUUAUUAUUAUUAUUAUUAUUACUUUUUUUUUUAAAAAAAAAAUGUCAUCUUCAAAUGAUUUCCAAGAUUCUAAUUUCCAUAACUUAAUUUUCAAAACUUCGAUUUAUUUCAAAAUUAGUUUUCAAAACUUCAAUUCCUUAAUUUAAUCUCCAAAACUCUCAUUUUCAAAUUUAAUUUUCCAAACUUUAAUUCUCAAAUAAUUUUCCAAAAUUCCAAUUUUUAGAUUUAAUUUUUAAGAAAUCUCAUACCCAAAUAAUUUUUCCAAGUUCCAAUUUUCUAAUUUAGUUCUUAAAACUUCAAUUUUCAAUUUAGUUUCAAAACUUGAUUUUCAAAAUUUGUCUUUCAGAUGAUUUUAAAUAUUUUAAAUUUAUUUAUUUGAUUUGUUUAUUCGCCUAAUUUAAUUAUGUUAUUUAUUCAUCUUUCAUAUGAUUAUUUAUUUAUUUAUUUUAUUAUUUUACUAUAUUUUAUUUGUUUAUUUAUUUAUUUUCCAUUAUUAUUAUUAUUAUUAUUAUUAUUAUUAUUAUUAUUAUUUUCUUCUUUCUUUCUUUUUUCUCUUCUUCAUUAAAAUUUUGAUUCACUAAAACCUAAUUUUUAAUAAACGUGUUGUCAUUUUAUACUUGAGUUAACCCCAUUUCCAUGAUAGCGCACUAUUGCAGCCAAGGUAUGCUCUCACUCCCACUUUGCUUACUCUUACGCGUGAUUCAUUUUAUUAUUUGAUUAUUUUAUUGGUAUCCAUUGAUUCCCUUAUCAAUUGUCACAGUUGCUUCACCUUAUUUAGUAAAGACCUUAUUAUAGAGCUUAGAGGGGUGUUAUGGUCUUUCACCGUACCUUCCCAAUAAAUAGCCUGACCCCAAACCCAGACUCAGUUUUUCAUAGACUUUUCUUUUCCGAACAAGGAGUCACACUUAGGGUUUUCUUUCUCGUUUCGUUUUCUCUUACAAAAUAAAAAUAAAUAAAAAAAAUUAAGUGACAACUCCGAGUUAUUUUCUAAAAAAAAAAAAUGAAUCAUUUUCAAAAAAAAAAAAAAAAAAAAAAGCGAGCUCGCCAUUGAGUGGAAACACGUGAGUUGAAAUGCGGGGUCCAUAGUAGGGUUAAAGAUUUAGGGAUUUAGGGUUUCAGGAUAAUAUUUUUAACCUUAAGAUUAGCAUUUUAUAUUCGUUAAUUAGUUUUGAACGUUUUAAAUUUUUUUUGAAAGAUCUCAAUAUAGAUUAGGGCUUGUUAUUAAUUUAUUUUUUUUACAUAAAAAAGAUUGGAAAUUUAUGAACAUAGGUAGAUUUAUUGAUGAAGAACAACAUGUCCCUAAUUUAGAACCAUAAGAAAGUUAGCUAUGAAGGACAUGUUGUUCCCUAUCACAAGUAAACUAUCCACAUAGACAAGAAAGUAAAUGAUGAUAUUGUUGCAAUUGUAAAUAAAAAGAAAGGGAUCUUCUCAAUGAGACAUGGGAGACUUGCACUAUUUUCUUAGCAUCGAAGCUCUCUCCAUGCCUCAAGGGUUACUACUCACUCAUCAUAGAUGUAUAUGGGAUCUUCUCACUUGCACCAAACUAGAUGGUGCCAAGGAUGUUACAAUACAACUCUCUACCCCUACCUCCUUUACUCUUCAUGAUGGCUCACCCAAUUCAUGCACUAUCCAACUGAGAUUCACUAGUCAACAGGUAAGCGUCUACUUCGCUAUUUUAAGCACACUAUCCAUCAUGGUCUUCUCCUUAAGUGUCAUCAACCUUUGGCUCUAACGACCUUUUUUUAUGUUGAUUGGGCUAGCAAAAGGGAUGACAGGACCUCUACUGCUACAUAUAUUGUCUACCUUGGGGGUAAUGUUAUAUCUUGAUGCUCUUGCAAGCAAAAGUUUGUUGCUCAAUCUUCCAUGGAGAUUGAAUGUCAUGUCCUUGCUUACACAGCUGCAGAAGUCCUUUGGCUCAAAUAUCUUUUGGGUGAAUUUAGCCUUCAACUCCUUAAGACACCUAUUAUAAAUUGUGACAACAUUGGUGCAACCUACCUUUCUAUCAAUUCUAUUUUUUACUCAAAAAUGAAGCACAUUGCUAUCAACUUUCACUUUGUGUGUGAUCAUGUUGUUAGUGGGAAUCUCAUCGUAUCAUAUAUCUCUACCAAAGAUCAACUUGCAAGUGCUUUGACCAAGUCUUUGAGUUGACAACUCUUUCUUCAGCUUCAAGCAAAGAUUGGUGUCUUUGAUGGGAGCACCAUCUUGCAAUGGCGUAAUAGUGCAAAAUCCCAUCCUUACGAUCUUGCAUAUUCACAUCCUAAUAUUCAAGCCUCACUAGCUCAAUCAAAAUCUCUAAAUGGAUGAAAUUACGCAAUAAUCAAUGACUAAUUACAUGGGUCAAUUAUAAAUCAUUCAGGCAUAAUUUAUUGUAUCAUUUUUGUGUCUAAUAUUCUUACUAUGUAUUUAUAUAGUGUAUUGACUGUUAAUGAAUACAAGCUUUCUAAUCAGUAUUAUUUUUUUCUGUUAGCCCCAAAUGUAUGACUUUAUUGUUUCUUUUAUAUCAAAAUGAUAGAAAUCUAGAACCCCACUCUUGCCUCAAUCUUCAACAAAGGCCAACCACAAAUCAUACAAAAACGACAAAAGUAAAAGAAAACAGAUUGAACCAGCUAAGCCAUGACAUCAGUUUCUCAACCUCCAAGACUAUUGACGCGUCUUAUGAAAAGUCGUUUAUAUCCCAUUCAGCCACAAGUGUCACACCACCGCAAAGCCCUCAAAACAUCCAAUAUUUCUCUCUUUGCAGUGACUGCUAGUUAGUGAUGAAACAAACUGAGCUUGUCUUCAUCCCACUUCCGAUCAUUGGCCACCUUUCGCCUACAGUGGAGAUUACAAAGCUGCUUACUCAGCGAGACCCCCGAUUCUCAAUCACGAUCUUCAUCAUGAAGUUUCCGUUUGGGUCCAUUGAUAGUAUGACCACGGACUCUGAUUCCAUACGUUUUGUCACACUUCCUCCUGUAGAGAUCAGCUCCGGAGAGACGCCGUCUGUUCCCUUCAUCUCUGAAUUCCUCAAAGCUCAGAUACCACUCGUCAGAGACGCAGUCCACUAGCUCACUCGCUCCAACUCGGUUCGGCUCGCUGGGUUCGUUAUUGACAUACUCUGCACCCACAUGAUUGGAAAGAUGAUUGGAUGGGCUCCACAAGUAGAGGUUUUAGCCCACUCAACUGUUGGAGGAUUUGUUUCUCAUUGUGGAUGAAAUUCUCUCCUACAAAGCAUAUGAUAUGGUGUUCCAGUAGCCACAUGAUCAAUGUAUGCAGAACAACAAAUCAACGCAUUUCAAAUGGUGAAAGAUUUAAGGUUGGCAAUAGAAAUUAAAAUAUAUUAUAAUAAGGAUAACAGUUAUAUUGUAAGUGCUCAUGAGAUUGAAAACCGAUUAAAGAAUUUAAUGAGCAUUAAUAGUGAAGUGAGGAAGAAAAUGAAUGAAAUGCAGCAAAUAAGUAGAAGAGUUAGCACUCUUUUUUAGGUCAUUUUAUUGAAAACAUGAUGACCAAUAUUCCAUAACCUAAUGUUUUGGAUUGUUACUUUAUGAAAUGCUUUAUUUCAAUGCUGAUGUAAUUUCUUUGAUUUCAAAAUUUAUAAAAAAGUUUAUUAUCUUUUUAUCAUUUAAUGAAAAAAGAUUAAAAUGACAUAAAUUUAAUCAUAUGCAGAUCUUGGUUGUUAACGAAUGCACAAUUAAUUAUCUUCGUGUAGGGAGUUAAAAUAAAUAAUAAAACAAACAAUAUAAUUAAUAAUUAACAAAACUAUUAAAAUUGUUUUAUUAAGGUGAUAGUAAUAGUACCAUUGGGAAUUUCCCGAUCCAAUUUGAGCUUGGACUCCUAAAAGUCCAUUUUAUUAUAGUGAGUACUAGAAUUUGUUCACUUGGGUCACUAUUAAUGUUGGAAAGAGAAAUAUCCAAGGUGGUCAUUAAUUGUCUAACAUACAUAAUUAAAUAAUAAUUAAUAGGGAAGGACUCUUUCAAGACCUAUUAAAUUAAAAUAAAAAUAAAAAAAUUCAACAAAAUUAGGUGAAUAAACAAAUUAAAUAAUAAAUUUUAUAUAAACAUAAAAAAUAUUUUUUUUAAAAUGAGGACGUCACGUGCUUUUAAAAACUGAAAUUCCAUGUAAUAAAAAAGCUUUUAACUUGAGAAUUUUAACCUAUUUUUUGUUUUUAUGGUAAAUUUUUUCUAUUUAUAUAAGAAUUUUUUAGUUUAAUUUUGUAGAACAUUAACCAUAAGUGAACUCUUGGGUUCAUAUUAUUUUAUUAUUUUUCCUUUUUAUGUUUCCUUUUCAAAUAGGAGUUGAUAUAAGUACCCUUCCCUACAUCAAACUACCCUUAAUUGUCAUGUAGUGUCUAAUUUUUCAUAUCCUCACAUGUGACAUUCGGCAACCAUGUGGUGUAUCUAAUAUAUUCCCAAUAAUUUUUAUAUCUCUAUGCAUGACAUUUGACAACUCCAAAGUAUGACAUGUGACGCUUCUAGUAUAUCCCUAAAUUAAUACUUAUAUAGUUUAUGUAAUUUUUGUCUAGUCCAUUUGCAUAGUUUUGAGGUUAUCCAACUUUUCUAAUUAUUUUAAAUUAUUGGAAACUUAAUUAUUUUACUAAUGUUUUACUUUUUUUCUAAUUAUUUUAAAUUUAAUUGGAUUUUUAAUUGUUUUAUUUGUUUUACUUAGGUUUUACUUUCUCCAAUUAUUUAUAAUUUAAUUGAAUUUUUAACUAUUUAAUUUAUUUAUUUUAAAAAAUCGGAAAAAAAAAUUAUCUCAAAAUCCAAGAUGUUACACAAUCAAUGUAGAGAAAAAAAAAGUAAAAGAAAUUUUAUAUAAUUCCAAAUAACAUAUCAUUUUUUUUUCACGAAAAUCAAUACUAAUUCCCCUAACCUCAAAGAAACCCACAAUUUUUUUGAAAAAUUUAUUGCUAAAGAACUUAAUCAUCAACUAACAUAAUAUAAAAAAUAAAUAAAUAACCAUUACUAAUAAUUAUUUAGCUAAAAUUAUAAUUUGAUAUUCCUGAAAAUCGUAUAUAUCAUUAUUAUUAUUAUUAUUCCUCAUUAUAUUAAUUUAAUUGAUCUAUUCUUAAAUUUAGGUUGAGUUAGUAGAUUUCCCAUUUACCUAAAAUUAUUAACUUCAAAACUUGAUUCUAAAAAUAUGCCAAUUUCAUUUCACUAAACCAAGAUUUUAUUUUAUUUAUUGAUUUAAAACUAAACAUUUUAUUAUACCAUCUCAUUACGAUUUAUUUUUUUAAUAAAUCCUCACUGAUAGCAUUAAAUUCCCCACCAACAUUCAAACAUCACUAUAACUUUCUUUUAUUAUUUUAUCGUACCAUCCCAUUACUCCUCCUAUAUCUUGUUGGAAUGGAUCUUCGUUUGCAGCAUCAAAUUCUCCACUAGCAUUCAAACAUCACUGCGACACCUAUGGUCAUCACACGUUUUCCAACACCUACAUCAUACACUGUAACAGCUCGAAUUAAUUUCCAAGGUUAUAAUCGUAAAUUAGAAAUACAAAAAAAAUAAAUAAUUUUAAUAAGAGUAGAAACGUUUUAUUUAUUUAAAAACCCCAUAAAUUACAUUUUUCUUCUCUUCUCUUUACAUAAAUCCUUUUUGUAUAGAGAUCAGGGGAAUUAGAGAACGAAGGGUUGAAGAUCAAUUUUUUAAACAAGAUUAUUAACCUUGAGAUUAGUAUUUUAUAUUUAUUAAUUAGUUUUAGACAUUUUAAAUUUUUUUUGAAAGAUCUCGAUAUAGAUUACGGUUUUUUAUUUAAAUUUUUUUAGAUAAAAAAGAUUAAAAAUUUAUUAACAUAGGUAGAUUUAUUAAUGAAGAAUAACACACCUCUAAUUUAGCACCUUAAGAAUAUUAGCUAUAAAGGACAUGUUCAAUCACAAGUCAUCCAUAUAGACAAAAAAAAAAUAUGACAUUGUUGUUGCAAUUGUAAAUAAAAAGAGAUGAAUUUUCUUAAUGAAAGACAGUGGAGACUUACAUCAUUUUCUUAUCAUCGAAGCUAUCUCCAUGUCUCAAGGGUUACUACCCACUCAUCAUAUAUAUAUGUACGGGUGUAGACCCUAAAAUUUGUCCUAAUUUUAUUUUUAUAUUAAUUUUGACCUUAAUUUUGUUUUUAAAUUUUAAAUCUUGAUUACAUAUAAUAUUUUUAAUCCACUCAUCAUUUAAUUCUUAAUUUUUAUUAUUUUAUAUAUUAUUUUAUUUUAUUUUAUUAUUACAAUUAUUUUUUCUUUCUUUUUCUUUUCUUUCUUUUUUUUUUUUCUUUCUUUCCUCUCUCCUCUGUCCUCCACUACCCCCAUUGCCCCACGUCAAGCCCAUAGCCCCCUCUCUCAGUCACUUCCAAAUUCUCUCUCCUCUCACUUUUUGUGGAUCCCGCAUUUCGGCUCAAUGCAUUUCCCACUCGAAUGGCGAGCUCUCGAUUUUUAUUUUGAAAAAUGGUUUUAUUUGAUUAAGAAAACUAACUUGGAGUCGCCACUUAUUUUUGUUUUAUUUUUAAAGGGUAAACAAAAUAAGAAAGAAAAACUCUAAGUGUGACUCCUUGUUUUGGAAAAGGUUAUCUGCGAAAAAUCGGAUCGGGUUCGGGGGUCAGGUUACUUAUCAGGAAGGUACGGUGUCAACCGUAGCACCCCUGUAAGUCCCUAAAAUGGGUCUCUACUAAUAAAAUGAAGCAAUCAUGGCAAUUAAUUAGGAAAUCAAUGAAUACUCAGAGUGAAUAAUGCACAUACGGGAGUUAGAAAAAUGCAUAUAGACUAACCAGAGUGAGAAUGAGUGUGUACCUGGGCAACGAACCAUCAUGCGCUAUCAAGAAAGGAGGGUUAAUACACAAUUAAAGAAUAAUCUCAUGCAUGUCAUAGAGCAAAACAAAUCAAUCAUGUAUGAUAAUCAAGUCAAUCGAAUCUCAUAUGUCGAGCCCCCACCAAAACCCGUUUUAUCUUGCCUGAAUCAAUUCCGAUAACUCCAUUGUUCGGAAUUACGGAAUUUGAUUCCUUGCUUACUUCAAAACAUUUUAAAAAUAGAGGGAGUAUGAAAAUUACUUGCCAGAAAUAAAAGUGGCAGCAAAACUUUGUUAAAAAUGUGAUUUUGGAACUUAAAGAAACUCUAAGGAUGAAGCAUGAGACAAUUAGGACUAUUUGAAUACCAGAAUUUAAAAGAAUUUACAAAAUGAGAUUCCGGAUGUUAGAUAUCCGGGGAAGGCGGAACGUCGGCCAGGCAGAAUUUCGAAUGCGAUAUGUCCGGGUAGAAUGUCGGUGGGGAGGAAUUCCGGAUGUAAGAUGUCCGGAUAGAAUGACGGCGGAGGAGAAAUUCCGGAUGCAAGAUGUUCGGAUAGAAUGGCGGCGGAGGAGAAUUCUGGAUGCGAGAUGUCCGGAUAGAAUGUUGGCGGAGGAGAAUUCCGGAUGUGGGAUGUCCGGAUAAAAUGUUGGCGGAGGAGAAUUUCGGAUGCGAUAUGUCCGGAUGGAAUGUUGGCUGAGGGGAAUUCCGGAUGCGAGAUGUCCGGAUAGAAUGGCGGAGGAGGAGAAUUCCGGAUGCCAUAUGUCCGGAUGGAAUGUUGGCUGAGGGGAAUUCCGGAUGCGAUAUGUCCGGAUAGAAUGUUGGGGGAGAAGAAUUCCAGAUGGAAUGGCGGCAAGGAGGAAUUCCGGAUGUGAGAUGUCCGGAUGGAAUGGCGGCGGAGGAGAAUUCCGGAUGCAAGACAUCCGAAUAGGUAGAACGUGGUUAUGAGUAGCAUGAAGGAUAGGUAUGGGUUGUAUGGACAUGGGGGCUCGGGUGAGUGGUUUUAAUGGGUAUGUGAAGGAGUGAAGGAUGACAUGCACCUAUGAGACUCCAUGUAAGCGAGGGAGUGGGAUGGAGAAUGAAUGAGAGGAAGAUGGGUGUGGUGGAGGAUGUUUGAUUCCUGCAAGCUUGAGUGAGGAAAUGGGUAUGACGACCUAGAAAGAGAGGUGGAUAGAUGAACGAUGGAUAAGGUGGAUAAAACGAUGAAUAAUAAACGAAAAUGGGUAGGGGAUGCUAAUGAGGUGAGCUUUGCUGCCAUGACAACUACUCCAGAUUUUCUAGGAUCUCUUUUGAGCAGGGAUGAGAAAAUAAAUGCGUACCAUGAACGGAUAUCAAGAAACAGGGGAAGUAGAGAAACAGAGCAUGAAAGAAGACGAAUAAAUAAAGAAAAAUCUCAAAAAAUCCAUUUCAUGAAUCAUCCAUGAAUCUUCCGAGCAGGUGGGUAAACCAUAUCAAAUGCAACCAUGGGCAUGAUUCUCGGGCAUUUCAUAAUCAUAACAGGGGCAUAUCAAAUUAAAAGAUGGACAAAUCUACACAAAUGUAGGCAUACAUAUCAACAAACAGAUCAGUGGCCUUCAACAUCCACCCAAAACAGCAUUAUGUUAUGGAAAAUCAAUGAAUAAUGAGAGACGAGGAGAAAACUGUGUACAUACCUAGUUCCUCAAGCAAAAAGAAAUUAGGUCUUAGCUCUCUCAAUGAGUUUUUCUCUGGGCAAUGGAAUACCUCCCAGAGAAAAUCUCCUCUCCCUCUCUUUCACUCACCCUUGGCAAUAAAAGACCUCUCAGAGAAAAUCUCCCCUCUCGCUCAAAAAUCUCCCCCCGGCACCUCUACUGCUGCUGUCCCUCCUCUCCUUCUCUUUUCUCCGCCUUUCCUCUGGAUUUGCCUUCCCAACAAUCUCUGCCGCAGCCACCCUUUUUCUGUCUUUGUCGCCCUUUUUCUGCCCUACUCCUUCUGCAGCCACCUUUUUUUGCUUCACUCCUUCUGCCACCACUUUUUCUGCCCCACUCCUUCUGCAACUUCAAAAAACGAGGUUGAUUCCUCAUGGCCAUUAAGGAUGUGACACGUGGCCCGCUGGGAUAGUGGCACCUGACUAAAAAUGUGAUCUGCAAAAACAAAUAGAGAAAAAGUGACUCAUGCCUAAAUGGGAGUCUACACUUUUCUUUUUUCUUUUGGAUUUUUUUUGCUUCCCCGACUUUUUUUGUUUUUUACUUUAGGUUAUUUCUAUUUUUGCAUAAGCUUAUUCUCCAAUUCUGUUGGUUGAAUGCAAAUUUAUAACACAUGGAGUAUAGAAUUUCAUGAGAGAAAGUGAAACUCGAAAAACUGUAAAUAGAGAGUAUUGAAUUUGUUAUAAACUUAUUUGGGUACACAUUUUAUUACCUUCUUUUAUUUUAUUUUAAUUUUAUUGGUUUCUAUAAAUUUUUUUUUUCUAUAUUUAUUGAGUGUAUAUAAUUGAAUAUUGAACAAAUUAGAAAUUUUAUUUAAAUAAAAGGAUUAAUUUAGUAAACAUGUUUUAAUAAAAUAAUAAUUUUAAAAUAUUCUUCUUAAUAAAAGAAAUUUUUUUAUUAAUAAAAAUUUAGAAAAAUGCUUUUAGAAAAAUCCAAAAAAAUUAUUUUAAUAGAAUUUGAAAAAUUGUUUUUAAUAAUGAUUGUCCAAAAAUUUCUUUGUUUAAUAAAAAGUGUCCAAAAAUUAUUUCGUAAACAAAAUUGUCCCAAAAAUUAAUUUUUAAUUAAAAAUUCUUUUGUAAAUAAAGUUAUAUUUUUUUUUAAUAAUUUGUAUAAGUCACUUUGAUGGUAAUGUUAUCUCUUGGUUUGCAAACAAAUGUUUGUUGCUCAAUCUUCCAUGGAGUUUGAAUAUUAGACCCUUGCUUGCACAGUUGCCGAAGUCCUUUGGCUCAAAUCUCUUUUGAGUGAACUUAGUCUUCAACUCCCUAAGACACUUUGUGUGUGAUCAUGUUGUCAAUGGGUAUCUCAUAGCAUCAUAUAUCUCUACCAAAGAUCAACUUGCAAAUACUUUGAUUAAGCCUUUGAGUCGACAACUCUUUCUUCGAAUUCAAUCCAAUAUUGGUGUCUCUAAUGGGAGCACCAUCUUGCAGUGGCGUAAUUGUGCUGAAUUUUAUCCCUGCAAUCUUGCAGCUUCACAUCCUGAUAUUCAAGCCUCACAAACUUGACCAAAAUCCCUAAAUGGAUGAAAAUCUGUUGUAAUCAAUUACUAAUUACAUGGGUCAACUAUAAAUCAUUCGGCCAUAAUUUAUGAUAUCAUUUUUGUAAUUUUUUGUGCAUAAUAUCCACUCUGUAUUUAUACAGUGUCUUGACCAAAAAUGAACACAAGCUUUCUCGUCAGUAUUAUUUUUUCUGUUAGUCCCAAAUGUAUAACUUUAUUGUUUGUUUUAUAUGAAAAGGUUAGCCCUAAAUGUAUGACUUUAUUGUUUGUUUUAUAUGAAAAUGACAGAAAUCUAGAAGCACUCACUUUUGCCUCAAUUUUCAACAAAGGCCAACACAAAUCAUACAAAAACGACAAGUAAAGGAAAAUAGAUUGAAACAGCUAAGCCAUGACAUCAGUUUCUCGGCCCCCAAGACUAAUCAGGCUGGAUAGGAAAAGUCAUUUAUAACCCAUUCAGCCACAAGUACAAGUAUCACACCACCGCAAAGCCCUCAAAACAUCCAAUAUUUUUCUCUUUGCAGUGACUGCUAGUUAGUGAUGAAACAAACUGAGCUUGUCUUCAUCCCAGUUCCGAUCAUUAGCCACCUUUCGCCUACAGUGGAGAUUGCAAAGCUGCUUACUCAGCGAGACCCCCGAUUCUCAAUCACGAUCUUCAUCAUGAAGUUUCCGUUUGGGUCCAUUGA